CUUGUCAAGACAGCAAAGUUCACAAAUUUUUGUCAGAAAUCAGAAUAUCGGACAGUUCACUUUUGUUUUCACGUAAAUAAUGUCGCUAAUUUAGUCAAGAACUACAACGCCAUGCCAUGUGGCUAUUAUAAAUAAUAUUUUAAGUUUUGUUUAAGAUUAUGUUCCCUUCUGGCGGUUAUUUUCGUAGUGCAAACUGCCCGUUCUUUCAACAUGGCCUUUGUCACAGACCAUACUGUCACUUUCGCCACACAAAACCAGGUAAAGUUUAACCAUCACUUCAUAUUUAAUCCACAGUAAAGAGUGUUGGUUUGUCAUUUGUUUGUUUUGAAUUUUUUUAAUUCUGUGGGAUUAGCUAAGCAUUUGUAUGAAAUUGACCAAAGUUAAUGUCUUUUAUAUUUAUUAUAAAUUAAAUGACCAAG